AUUGAACGCUGGCGGCAUGCUUUACACAUGCAAGUCGAACGGUAACAGGCCGCAAGGUGCUGACGAGUGGCGAACGGGUGAGUAAUGCAUCGGAACGUGCCCAGUCGUGGGGGAUAACGCAGCGAAAGCUGCGCUAAUACCGCAUACGAUCUAUGGAUGAAAGCGGGGGACCGUAAGGCCUCGCGCGAUUGGAGCGGCCGAUGUCAGAUUAGGUAGUUGGUGGGGUAAAGGCUCACCAAGCCAACGAUCUGUAGCUGGUCUGAGAGGACGACCAGCCACACUGGGACUGAGACACGGCCCAGACUCCUACGGGAGGCAGCAGUGGGGAAUUUUGGACAAUGGGCGCAAGCCUGAUCCAGCAAUGCCGCGUGCAGGAAGAAGGCCUUCGGGUUGUAAACUGCUUUUGUACGGAACGAAACGGCUCUGGUUAAUACCCGGAGCUAAUGACGGUACCGUAAGAAUAAGCACCGGCUAACUACGUGCCAGCAGCCGCAGUAACAC
rnacentral:rRNA from 1 species